AAUCAACGCUGGCGGCGUGCCUCAGACAUGCAAGUUGAACGAUUAAAGCUCUCUUCGGAGAGUGCAUAAAGUGGCGCACGGGUGAGUAACACGUAAGUAAUCUACCCUCGAGUGGGGAAUAACGUCCGGGAAACGGACGCUAAUACCGCAUAACGCAGCGGCACCGCAAGGUGACAGUUGUUAAAGGAGAAAUUCGCUUGAGGAGGAGCUUGCGGCAGAUUAGCUUGUUGGUAAGGUAACGGCUUACCAAGGCUACGAUCUGUAACCGGUCUAAGAGGACGGUCGGUCACACUGACACUGAAUAACGGGUCAGACUCCUACGGGAGGCAGCA
rnacentral:rRNA from 1 species